rnacentral:rRNA from 1 species
UUCGGGAGAAGGGGGACCACUGCUGGUGACGACUCUUUGCGGUUUGAGCUGGUGGUGGUCGCAGAGACCAGAGAGAAGCGACUGUUUACUAAAAACACAGGUCCGUGCGAAGUCGUAAGACGAUGUAUACGGACUGACGCCUCCCCGGUGCUGGAAGGUUAAGAGGACCGGUUAAUCACCUUUGGGUGGUGACGCUGAGAAUUUAAGCCCCAGUAAACGGCGGUGGUAACUAUAACCAUCCUAAGGUAGCGAAAUUCCUUGUCGGGUAAGUUCCGACCUGCACGAAUGGCGUAACGACUUCUCUGCUGUCUCAACCACAGACUCGGCGAAAUUGCAUUACGAGUAAAGAUGCUCGUUACGCGCGGCAGGACGAAAAGACCCCGGGACCUUCACUAUAGCUUGGUAUUGGUGUUCGGUUCGGUUUGUGUAGGAUAGGUGGGAGACUGUGAAACCGUCACGCUAGUGGUGGUGGAGUCGUUGUUGAAAUACCACUCUGAUCGUAUUGGACUUCUAACCUCGGGCCAUGAUCUGGUUCAGGGACAGUGCCUGGUGGGUAGUUUAACUGGGGCGGUUGCCUCCUAAAAUGUAACGGAGGCGCCCAAAGGUUCCCUCAGCCUGGUUGGCAAUCAGGUGUUGAGUGUAAGUGCACAAGGGAGCUUGACUGUGAGACGUACAUGUCGAGCAGGGACGAAAGUCGGGACUAGUGAUCCGGCACCGGCAUGUGGAAGCGGUGUCGCUCAACGGAUAAAAGGUACCCCGGGGAUAACAGGCUGAUCUUCCCCAAGAGUCCAUAUCGACGGGAUGGUUUGGCACCUCGAUGUCGGCUCGUCGCAUCCUGGGGCUGGAGUAGGUCCCAAGGGUUGGGCUGUUCGCCCAUUAAAGCGGCACGCGAGCUGGGUUUAGAACGUCGUGAGACAGUUCGGUCUCUAUCCGCCGCGCGCGUAAGAAACUUGAGGAAACCUGUCCCUAGUACGAGAGGACCGGGACGGACGGACCUCUGGUGUGCCAGUUGUACCGCCAGGUGCACUGCUGGUUGGCUACGUUCGGAAGGGAUAACCGCUGAAAGCAUCUAAGCGGGAAGCCUGUUCCAAGAUGAGGUUUCUCACCCCCUAGCGGGGUUAAGGCCCCCCACAGACCAUGGGGUUGAUAGGCCAGAACUGUACGCACCGUGAGGUGUUCAGGUGACUGGUACUAAUCGGCCGAGGACCUAA